GCUGCUCUAGCUCAGUUGGUAGAGCAUCGGUUUUGUAAACCGACGGUCGCAGGUUCAAGUCCUGUGAGCAGCUCCA
rnacentral:tRNA from 2 species